rnacentral:sRNA from 1 species
AGUUUGGAUCAAGUGCAAAACAUGAAUUCCUCAUUUCACCAAAGGCCUAGAGUUGGGCUGUAAGAUUUAACAAUGCAACACAAAGUAGGCCUAUUAGGCCCAUAACGGACAUUCAACUAGUUUUAUAAUUAACAAGUGGUCAUAUGUUAUGGCUUUAUUUGGAGCAUGUCAAUGUUUUUACUUUAUCAACUAGGAAGAAAAUAUAGAACAAGAUGGUAAUAGGACAAGACGGAUAUAACAAAAAAAUGUCGUGAUAUCAAAAUGUCUGGCGUAUAAAGUGGGACACUAUCUAAACGGACACUUGACUUGAAGAGGUCUGUUUGUGAAGACACCGAAUGAAGGCUGCCACAGACAGGCCGUCCUCUCUUGACUAUAUAAACAUCUAUCGUUGAACACAAUGGCUGACAUAUGUUGAUUGUUUUAGAGUUUCUGUUGACUCGAGACAUGUGAACCUACUGAUAGAACCUACAGUUUAAAAGAGAUUUAAAAUAAUAAAACAGAAACAAUGCUUUGAAUAGACAACUUCUCUGUUCAAUGAAGUGAAUUAUAAAGAAAAUUCCUGCUCAGUAAUCCCUUGGAACUACGGUGCUUGGAACUACGGUGCUUGGAACUACGGCGCUUGGAACUACGGCGCUUGGAACUACAGCGCUUGGAACUACGGUGCUUGGAACUACGGCGCUUGGAACUACGGUGCUUGGAACUACGGCGCUUGGAACUACGGCGCUUGGAACUACGGCGCUUGGAACUACGGCGCUUGGAACUACAGCGCUUGGAACUAAGCCGCUUAAAACUAUGGCACUCCCAUAUUUCUACAUCUACAGGUCCGUCGAAAGUUGAUUGACUAGCAGUAAAAGGCAACAAAUGUGGAGCCUGGAGGCUGUAAGGCGGACAGGAAGACACCAUGGCACACCAAUGAAAACAAUUGAAUAAACAAUAUUUUAAAUAAA